GUUUGGGUGGCGGACGGGUGAGUAACGCGUAAAGAACUUGCCUCACAGACUGGGACAACAUCUGGAAACGGAUGCUAAUACCGGAUAUUAUGAUUUUAGUGCAUGCUAGGAUUAUGAAAGCUAUAUGCGCUGUGAGAGAGCUUUGCGUCCCAUUAGCUAGUUGGAGAGGUAACGGCUCACCAAGGCGAUGAUGGGUAGCCGGCCUGAGAGGGUGAACGGCCACAAGGGGACUGAGACACGGCCCUUACUCC
rnacentral:rRNA from 1 species